rnacentral:lncRNA from 1 species
GGGCAGUUCAGGCUUUGCAGAGACUGUGCUGAAGGUGCAUCUAGCUGAUAAGAAAGUUCAGUGGUCUUACAGGUGGUGGAAGAAAUUCUGGAAAGAAGAAAACAGUCACUGGAACCCAGCUAGAAUCAACUAAGAGAAGCGAUGUGAAUAAUACACAUUGACAGGUAAGGCAAAAAAAAUAACUCUACAGUUUUUGACUUUGGAUAUAUAAGCAACACCUACACAUUCACUCUUAACAUGAAUGUACAUUUCUUUGGCUGACUCUCUCUCACCUCAUGAUUUGAUCCUACUCUCCACAUCCUGAGACCUGAUGAGGACAAGAGGAGGUGGCCACUUGUAGAUACUCAACAGUUUUGAUUCACUUGUUUUGUUUUUAUCUUUACCAAUUGUUUAGCAAACGGG